AAUACAUACACUGCACAUUUUUAUCGAGUGCGAUAAAGAAGGACAAAGAAGGCCGUUUUAAUAAUAAUUCAACCACUGAAAUCACACGGACCAGAUUUGGAAAAUGACUUGAAAGCUAAGACAUUCGCAGUAGGCUCUACAAGAGAGGGAGACCCAAAACUACCUGGAGUCAUACUGAGCCUCGAGGAGGAGAUGAAGUCAGUGAACAUGACCGAUCGUUUCCAGAAGAAGGCCCAGCUCAGAACCGCCAGGAGCUAGGAGUGGAGAUCCGAAUAUUUUGUUGCUGCCCUCCAUGAGAGGAGGCUAUACAUCGCAUCUACCAGCAAAGAAUGUGUGCCAGUACAGGAAAGGAAUGUACAGUACCUGUCGCACAUGAACUCUUCAUAGGCAGUGAGGACAAGAUCUGCAAGCAAGUGAUCCUUUUAGUAAGAAAAUUUCCAAUUUGUACAUUUUACAAUUAAUUUUUUUUAAGCCUUUGUACACAUUUAGAGUAUCAAAGCUUACAAAAUGUAAAAAUUAAAUGUUUGCCCAAAAAUCAUUAUGGGAAAGGUGGAUUUCCGAGGGAAAUCUAUCUUUGUUUACACAGUUGUACGAGCAACCUUAUAGGAAGCUUGUCUAGGCUCCGUGAUGAAAAUACAAUGUAAAAAUUAUGAAAUGAUCUUCAUGGAGUCCUCUAGGCUAGCCAGUGACAUGGGCCCAUGUCCAUCAAUUUUAAUUCAUGCUUUUGCAUAACCAUAUGGCGUGAAUUUGGAACUGGAAUUAUAAUUUCAGAUUGACCUCCGAAAUGAAACGUGCACAGUUAGUCUGAACUAAAAUAAAAUUUCCUGAAUUUUUUCUUAAAUCUGGAGGCUGAGGUAAUUUUUUUAUCUUUGAAAUUAAAUUGGUUCUUGUUGUUUUUUUACCUCUGACUUACCAGUAUGUGUGGAGGUACCAUAGAAGUAGAAUUAAUGGGAUGGUCCAGGCUGGAAACAUAUCUCAAUAAAUAGAGGAAAAUUCACAGAGCAAAAUGCUGAAAACUUUAUCAAAAUUGGAUAACUAAUAGAGGUUUUGAAUUCUAAAGAUUUGCAUUAUUCCGGUGAAAUAGUUCUAGGCAUGUCUUUAUGAAUAUUCAUUAGGUUGGCUGAUGAUGUCAUAUCCCAAUUGCCCUUUUGUAUUUUAUUAUAUGAGAUUAGGUUUAUUAAAAUAUUUUUAACCAAGAACUAUUGACAAUUGUAUUGACAACUGAUUAGGUGCAUUAGUUAUUGACGCAACUUAUUUCAUUACAAUGGAGACGCAUCAUUUACACAUGUAUGAAAAAAUCAAACAUUUAUGAUUUCAUCUAGUAACAUAAAAAAAAGGAAAGUGGAGAUGUGACAUCAGCCCACCUAAUGAAUAUUCAUGACAAAGUGCAUACAACCGUUUUCACAAAAUAUUGAUAAACUUUAAAAUUCAAUAACUUCUUGUUAUCCUAUUUUGAUGAGAUUUUCAUCAUAUUGCUCUGAAUUUUACUAAAUUAUUAUUUAGAUGUAAAUAUUUUCGGCCCAGACCAUCCCUUUAAUUCUCGGAUAAAAUUUUGUAUUUAAAAUGUUUUUUUGCCUUGUCUUGCGUUUUUAAACAUGUUCUGGGAACUGUUUUUUGAAAGUUGUCAGCAUUAACAAGUUGUCUUUUUCCGACAGUUACCAUAGCAACAGUCAGAGCCCAGUGCUCUUAGCCAAUCAAUAGCAAUGAUUUCACUGAAAUAGUCGGCAUUGACAAUCAUGAAAUACCCAUCAGAUGUUAGCAGAUAAUGUGCAACAUAGACUCCUUUAAAAAUAGUACAUUAUAGUACAUAAUAGCACAUUACAGUACAUUAUUUUUUAAGGUAAAUGCUUAGAUGCAUUAUAUUCAAAUUUUGUCUCCAAGCUAGCUUGUAAAAAUUGGAUUGACUACAUAUAUACUGUGUAAGUUAAUG